UGGGGAAUAUUGGACAAUGGGCGCAAGCCUGAUCCAGCCAUGCCGCGUGAACGAUGAAGGCCUUAGGGUUGUAAAGUUCUUUUGUCAGGGAAGAUAAUGACGGUACCUGAAGAAUAAGCACCGGCUAACUUCGUGCCAGCAGCCGCGGUAAUACGAAGGGUGCUAGCGUUGUUCGGAAUCACUGGGCGUAAAGCGCGCGUAGGCGGCUUAACAAGUCAGAGGUGAAAGCCUGGAGCUCAACUCCAGAACUGCCUUUGAAACUGUUAAGCCUGAGUGUCGGAGGGGAUAGCGGAAUUUCUAAUGUAGAGGUGAAAUUCGUAGAUAUUAGAAGGAACACCGGUGGCGAAGGCGGCUAUCUGGACGACAACUGACGCUGAGGCGCGAAAGCGUGGGGAUCAAACAGGAUUAGAUACCCCAGUAGUCCCUGAGCGGGCUGGCAAGGCGCAU
rnacentral:rRNA from 1 species